CUUUACUGUAGCUUGGAAUUGGAUUUGAGUUUAUUUUGCGCAGUAUAGGUGGGAGGCUGUGAUUUCAUGCUUGUGGGUGUGAAGGAGCCUAUAGUGAGAUACCACCCUAAUUAAACUAGAAUUCUAAUCUUGAUGCCGUUAUCCGGCCAAGAGACAUUUUCAGGUGGGCAGUUUGACUGGGGCGGUCGCCUCCUAAAAAGUAACGGAGGCGUGCAAAGGUUUCCUCAGGCUGGUCGGAAAUCAGUCGUAGAGUAUAAAGGCAAAAGGAAGCUUGACUGCAAGACCUACAAGUCGAGCAGAGACGAAAGUCGGCCUUAGUGAUCCGACAGUACUGAGUGGAAAGGCUGUCGCUCAACGGAUAAAAGUUA
rnacentral:rRNA from 1 species